AUGUCUGGAAGGCUGUGGUCCAAGGCCAUUUUUACUGGCUAUGAGAGGGGUCUCCGGAACCAAAGGGAGCACACAGCUCUUCUUAAAGUCGAAGGUGGUUAUGCCAGAGAUUAAACAGAAUUCUCUUUGAACUAGUGAUGCACUUACGUAUACAAAGCAAAGAGCAACAUAGUGACUCCUGGCGGCAAACUAAACAAAACCAGAGUAAUCUGGGGAAAGGUAACUCCGAGAACGUGCCAAAUUCCAAAGCAAUCUUCCUGCUAAGGCUAUUGGACACAGAAUCCGAGUCAUGUUGUACCCCUCAAGGAUUUA
rnacentral:lncRNA from 1 species